ACCACGAUCCCUGUGGCACUCACAGGUACCACGAUCCCUGUGGCACUCACUGGCCCCAGUUUGCGACGCUGCCAGCCAACAGAUGUCCAUCAAAUUUAAUCCAUGCAAAAAUACCUGUGUGGACAUACAGAGAAACUGAGGCAACCACGGUGAGGGAUGGAUUUGCCUCAUGCUCUAACACAUCACCAAUGUGCAGGUUCUCAUGAUAGGCUUGCCAAGAUGUGACCACAGCAAAUGGCCAGAGGCUGCUUUGGGUUUUUUCCAUCUUCUCGUGAGACGGUUACCAAAGAUU